rnacentral:rRNA from 1 species
GACGAACGCUGGCGGCGUGCCUAAUACAUGCAAGUCGAGCGAGCUUGCCUAGAUGAAUUUGGUGCUUGCACCAAAUGAAACUAGAUACAAGCGAGCGGCGGACGGGUGAGUAACACGUGGGUAACCUGCCCAAGAGACUGGGAUAACACCUGGAAACAGAUGCUAAUACCGGAUAACAACACUAGACGCAUGUCUAGAGUUUAAAAGAUGGUUCUGCUAUCACUCUUGGAUGGACCUGCGGUGCAUUAGCUAGUUGGUAAGGUAACGGCUUACCAAGGCAAUGAUGCAUAGCCGAGUUGAGAGACUGAUCGGCCACAUUGGGACUGAGACAUGGCCCAAACUCCUACGGGAGGCAGCAGUAGGGAAUCUUCCACAAUGGACGCAAGUCUGAUGGAGCAACGCCGCGUGAGUGAAGAAGGGUUUCGGCUCGUAAAGCUCUGUUGGUAGUGAAGAAAGAUAGAGGUAGUAACUGGCCUUUAUUUGACGGUAAUUACUUAGAAAGUCACGGCUAACUACGUGCCAGCAGCCGCGGUAAUACGUAGGUGGCAAGCGUUGUCCGGAUUUAUUGGGCGUAAAGCGAGUGCAGGCGGUUCAAUAAGUCUGAUGUGAAAGCCUUCGGCUCAACCGGAGAAUUGCAUCAGAAACUGUUGAACUUGAGUGCAGAAGAGGAGAGUGGAACUCCAUGUGUAGCGGUGGAAUGCGUAGAUUUAUGGAAGAACACCAGUGGCGAAGGCGGCUCUCUGGUCUGCAACUGACGCUGAGGCUCGAAAGCAUGGGGUAGCGAACAGG